rnacentral:rRNA from 1 species
GAUGAACGCUGGCGGCGUGCCUAACACAUGCAAGUCGAGCGGAGAUUAGAAGAAGUACUUGUACAGAAAUUAAUCUUAGCGGCGGACGGGUGAGUAACACGUGAGUAACCUGCCUUUUACAGUGGAAUAACAACAAGAAAUUGGUGCUAAUACCGCAUAAAGUCAAACUAUCGCAUGAUAGAGUGACCAAAGGAGAAAUCCGGUAAAAGAUGGACUCGCGUCCGAUUAGGUAGUUGGAGAGGUAAUGGCUCACCAAGCCUACGAUCGGUAGCCGAACUGAGAGGUUGAUCGGCCACAUUGGGACUGAGACACGGCCCAGACUCCUACGGGAGGCAGCAGUGGGGAAUAUUGGGCAAUGGGGGAAACCCUGACCCAGCAACGCCGCGUGAAGGAAGAAGGUCUUCGGAUUGUAAACUUCUUUGAUCAGGGACGAAAAAAAUGACGGUACCUGAAGAACAAGCCACGGCUAACUACGUGCCAGCAGCCGCAGUAACAC